rnacentral:rRNA from 1 species
UACGUAGGGUGCAAGCGUUGUCCGGAAUUAUUGGGCGUAAAGAGCGUGUAGGCGGCCCGAUUAGUCCGCUGUGAAAGUCCAGGGCUCAACCCUGGAAUGCCGGUGGAUACUGUCGGGCUAGAGUCCGGAAGGGGCGAGUGGAAUUCCUGGUGUAGCGGUGAAAUGCGCAGAUAUCAGGAGGAACACCGGUGGCGAAGGCGGAUCUCUGGGCCGUAACUGACGCUGAGGAGCGAAAGCAUGGGGAGCGAACAGG